rnacentral:lncRNA from 1 species
AUAUCAACAGACAUAGGAUUCUGGAUAGGUACUCGGAGACUCCAGGUCGUUUAACAGUGUGUGAUCACAGUACUCAAAAACUAGAUGCAUCUUUCUCUUUCUUCUGAACACCUCGAUGAGGUUCACGAGGUUUGGGUGAGAAUUUUGUUAUGGUGUUUAAGAUCAAUUGCUCGUUCUUCGAGCCAUCAGCUUCAAUGUGGAAUGAAUUGAAGAUCUGUAACAAGGCUUGGCCUACACCAUGGACGAACAGCGGACACCCAGAGAGCUAAAUGUCUCCUACCGGCUAAGACAAGGGCUUUUGUCUUCCUGGGCUCAUCUAAAAGACUCUUCAUGCAGUUAACAUACUUAUCUCUCCUGUAAACUUACAAUCUCCAGGAAACCCACUCAGAUCGACCUCUCGUGGAUCAAACAGACUCUAUCCAGGUAAGUACACCUGCCAAUCACUAAGUUCCUGUAGGAGGCUGUAGCCUCCCCUUUAGGCUGCCCGAGCUGCACCUUAAAGAUGGCGCCUGCCAGAUGCAGAGCUGGUGGUGUAAACAAGUCCAUAUUCGGUGGAGACGUGCCCCUGCCGCCCUGAUUGGCUGAAGCCAUGUACCUGGUGAGGUGACGUGGCCUGCCGUGAGUGGAUGGGGGCUGAGAGUAUAUAAGAGUGAGAGGCCCGGGGUUCGAGGGAGAUGAAGACUGAAAAUGGCUGAAUAAACUGCUGAUAGAAGAACUGGUGGUCGUGUGGUUCUUGCUGGUCGAGGGUGGAUGCGACAAAUGGUGGCCC